CAGUCGCCACGGGAAAACGGAGGGGGCUAGCGUUGUUCGGAAUUACUGGGCGUAAAGCGCACGUAGGCGGCUUGGUAAGUUAGAGGUGAAAGCCCGGAGCUCAACUCCGGAAUUGCCUUUAAGACUGCCGAGCUAGUAGGUGAGAGAGGUAAGUGGAAUUCCGAGUGUAGAGGUGAAAUUCGUAGAUAUUCGGAAGAACACCAGUGGCGAAGGCGGCUUACUGGCUCAUUCUAGACGCUGAGGUGCGAAAGCGUGGGGAGCAAACAGGAUUAGAUACCCCAGUAGUCCCUGUCUCUUAUAC
rnacentral:rRNA from 1 species